GGAAACUGAUGCUUUUCAUGAGAGUUUACAAUGUGCCGUAGAAGAACAGCAGUUGGAGGCCAAGAUUGUGGUUGAGACCACUGAAAGUCACAGUGGUGCAACUGCAGAUUUGAUGUCCUUGUCUCAGUCGACUGAAGUUGGUGGUGGUGAAGCUGCUACGGUUGGCAACAGGGUUCUUUUAAACCCCAAAAUUGGUGCUCCUAACACAAAAGGUUUGAGUGAAAUUGUGCCUUCUUCAGAAAAUGAUCAAAAUUUGAAGGUUGAGGCAGAUCAUGGAAGCACAGAAAAUGUUGCCUGUAGUGGUGGAAUUUGCCACAUGAACACCAAGGAAGUUAUGAAUUCCAAAGAUAGUGUUAUGGGAGCUGAUGCUUUUGAUGGGGGUUUACAAUAUUCAUCCAAAGAUAAAAAAUUGAUGGACAAGACGGUGGAGAGUGGCACCAGAGACCAUAAUGACGCAUGUGUGAGUCCCGAUGAACGAACCCAGGUUGCUGAAAGAGGGAAAGCUUCACCUGUGCACAAUGAGAAGAUAUUGGACUCAAAAAUUGAAGUUGUGGGAAGUGAUGAUGCAG
rnacentral:lncRNA from 1 species